rnacentral:rRNA from 1 species
GAUGAACGCUGACAGAAUGCUUAACACAUGCAAGUCGACUUGAACUUCGGGUUGGGUGGCGGACGGGUUAGUAACGCGUAGAGAACUUGCCUCACAGCUAGGAACAACAUUUGGAAACGAAUGCUAAUACCUGAUAUUAUGAUUGUAGGGCAUCCUAGAAUUAUUAAAGCUAUAUGCGCUGUGAGAGAGCUUUGCGUCCCAUUAGCUAGUUGGAGAGGUAACGGCUCACCAAGGCGAUGAUGGGUAGCCGGCCUGAGAGGGUGAACGGCCACAAGGGGACUGAGACACGGCCCUCACUCAUACGGGCGGGAGGAGUGGGGAAUAAUGGAUAAAGGACCAAGAGUAUGAUCCAGCAAUUAUGUGUGGAAGAUGAAGUUUUUCGGAAUGUAAAGUGCUUUCAGUUGGGAAGAAAAAAAUGACGGUACCAACAGAAGAAGCUACGGCUAAAUCCGUG